CUUCAUAUUUCAACAGAUCUACAUUCAGGUCACUGUAUUGCCCUAAACCUUAAAUAUUAAAAUUAAAAUAAAAAUGGAAUUCUUAUUCGAAGUUCUUAACCUGAAUUCUGCAACUACGUCGACUAAAUUUCUGACGUCGUCGUCUUCCACGUUCUCCUAGAUUUGCUCGUUCGCGAUCUUCACAAGUGAUUUGAAGGACAUCAUCACAUAGACUAUAUCGAGUGCAAGACAGAGAGAAAAAACUUCGUUGGCCGAAUUUGUGAUGCAGUCUUCUUCCCUGUUCUCCUAGUUUGUUCAUUCGGCAUCUACACCGGCGAUCUGGAAGACAUCUUCAUCGGUUAGUCAGAGAGUUUUGACUUAUUACAGAGAGAUGGAGGGGAGAGAGAGACAAGUCUUGUGUGUAGUGUGCGUGAGUGAAUAUGUUUUCGCCCAAUAUCUUUUAAAAUUGAUAAUUGCCAGAAAAGUGUCAAAUGACAUUUUGACCAAGUGACAUUAUUUUGAAUUCAAAUUAUCACCAGAUAAGCAUUCUGUCAAAAAUUCUGGCAAAGUUUA
rnacentral:lncRNA from 1 species